GACGAACGCUGGCGGCGUGCCUAAUACAUGCAAGUCGAGCGAAUCAAUAGGAGCUUGCUCCUGUUGGUUAGCGGCGGACGGGUGAGUAACACGUGGGCAACCUGCCUGUAAGACUGGGAUAACUUCGGGAAACCGGAACUAAUACCGGAUAAUCCUUUUCCACUCAUGUGGGACAGCUGAAAGUCGGUUUCGGCUGACACUUACAGAUGGGCCCGCGGCGCAUUAGCUAGUGGGUGAGGUAACGGCUCACCAAGGCGACGAUGCGCAGCCGACCUGAGAGGGUGAUCGGCCACACUGGGACUGAGACACGGCCCAGACUCCUACGGGAGGCAGCAGUAGGGAAUCUUCCGCAAUGGACGAAAGUCUGACGGAGCAACGCCGCGUGAGCGAUGAAGGCCUUCGGGUCGUAAAGCUCUGUUGUUAGGGAAGAACAAGUAUCGGAGUAACUGCCGGUACCUUGACGGUACCUAACCAGAAAGCCACGGCUAACUACGUGCCAGCCGCCGCCGUAAGAC
rnacentral:rRNA from 1 species